rnacentral:rRNA from 1 species
ACUCUGAAAGAACUGCCAGUGAUAAGCUGGAGGAAGGUGGGGAUGACGUCAAGUCCUCAUGGCCCUUAUGUGUUGGGCUACACACGUGCUACAAUGGUAUUUACAAUGGGAUGCAAAGAGGCGACUCCAUGCAAAUCCCUAAAAAAUACCUCAGUUCGGAUUGUACUCUGCAACUCGAGUACAUGAAGCUGGAAUUACUAGUAAUCGUGGAUCAGCGCGCCACGGUGAAUACGUUCCCGGGUCUU